AUUGAACGCUGGCGGCAGGCCUAACACAUGCAAGUCGAGCGAGCGGCGGACGGGUGAGUAAUGUCUGGGAAACUGCCUGAUGGAGGGGGAUAACUACUGGAAACGGUAGCUAAUACCGCAUCCCAUCAGAUGUGCCCAGAUGGGAUGAGCUAGUAGGUGGGGUAACGGCUCACCUAGGCGACGAUCCCUAGCUUGUCUGAGAGGAUGACCAGCCACACUGGAACUGAGAACCGGGCCAGACGCCUACGGGAGGAAGCAGGGGGGAAUAGUGCACAAUGGGAGCAAGACUGAUGCAGCCAUGCCGCGUGUGGGAAGAAGGACUUCGGGUUGUAAAGCAAUUUCAGCGGGGAGGCGUUACCCGCAGAAGAAGCACCGGCUAACUCCGUGCCAGCAGCCGCGGUAAUAC
rnacentral:rRNA from 1 species